rnacentral:rRNA from 1 species
AUGAGGGUGAUGUGCCGGGCUACCUCGAGCAGAAAUAGAAACGAUGUGUCUGCUUUGCGCAAUUGUGAAAGAAAAUGUAGCCAGCAAUCUCAUACUCAAGCUAGAUGCAAGAGGGCUGCAGGUCCGCAGGAGAUCAAAUCAAUGACCAAAGAAACUGCACGGACGCCACCGACGCCCUUUACAAGCCUAGGCGACCGAAGAGGCGUACCAGGACAGAGACAAGCCGCCGUCCAUGCUGAACAUGUGUGCCAUAACCAGCUGCGGGGGUGGCUCCAGGUGAGGAAGAUAAACCUCCAUGAAGUGAAUCAGCAAAGAAAGCUGAUGGGAGAUAUCCAGCAGCAGCAAUUUUUGAGUGAGAAGCAAGAUUUAGGAAAAGAGAAAGGGGAUCGGAGGAGAUGGAUGGGGAAAAUAGGAACGGAGAAGUUAAGAAGUCUAUAG